rnacentral:rRNA from 1 species
GACGAACGCUGGCGGCGUGCUUAACACAUGCAAGUCGAACGGAAAGUCCCUGCUUUUGUGGGGUGCUCGAGUGGCGAACGGGUGAGUAACACGUGAGUAACCUGCCCUUGACUUUGGGAUAACUUCAGGAAACUGGGGCUAAUACCGGAUAGGAGCUCCUGCUGCAUGGUGGGGGUUGGAAAGUUUCGGCGGUUGGGGAUGGACUCGCGGCUUAUCAGCUUGUUGGUGGGGUAGUGGCUUACCAAGGCUUUGACGGGUAGCCGGCCUGAGAGGGUGACCGGCCACAUUGGGACUGAGAUACGGCCCAGACUCCUACGGGAGGGAGCAGUGGGGAAUAUUGCACAAUGGGCGGAAGCCUGAUGCAGCAAAGCCGCGUGCGGGAUGAUGGCAUUCGGGUUGUAAACCGCUUUCGCCUGUGACGAAGCGUGAGUGACGGUAAUGGGUAAAGAAGCACCGGCUAACUCCGUG